UGAUAAUAAUCUCGUGUCUAGUUGAUUAGUCGUCUUCAAACGUAUUGAUCAAUGUUUUUGGUCAGACUAUGCUAUCAGUUGUAUUUGAUUCAGAAUGCGCCUUUUUGUUGUUGAGGUAACUUCCCAUUUUUCCCUAUUAGAGUGUAGGAGUUGUUAAUUAGUUGUGAGUCUGGUAAGGUUGUUGCUUAGUUUAGACUAGUCAACAAAUUCUAUAAAUACAGUACGUUGAGAUUUCAGAAGCAAGCAAUUUUGAAUACAAAGAAAAGAAGUUUAUUCUCUGUUCUUUCUAUUUUCUUCUGUUUGGCUAGAUAUAUUUUCAUUCUUUUAUCAAGUUCUUUCAUGGUAUCAGAGCCAUUUGAUUCUGGAUCUUGUCUAUCAUGGCUUCCGCUAAUUUUGCAACUGAUGAGUCUAGCUCUGGUGUGUUCUCCGGCGAUCGUGUCACGACCGGUCUUCCUCGGCAUAAAGUGGUUAAGCUCGAUGAAGGCACCUAUAUUCAGUGGCGCAAAUAGAUCAAAUUAAUAGUGGAUGGCUAUGGACUUACAGGAUUUUUAGAUGGCACCAUUGUUUCGCCAUCGAGGUUUGUGUCUCUGCCCGAUGGAUCUCGUGCUCCAAAUCCUGCGGCACAGGUGUUCACGCAGCAAGAUAGGCUUUUGACCUCAUGGCUAUUAUCAACUGUAAGUACAUCUCUUCAAUCGUCAUUUGAUGAUGCGUGCAUGGCGUGUGAUAUGUGGAACAUGGCUAUUAAUCUGUUUGCAGCUGACACUGGUGCUAAGCAGUCACGACUUCUGCAUGAGCUUCAUUCCUUGAAGAAAGGUAACCUUUCCAUUAAAGCUUAUGUUGCUAAAAUUAAAGAUCUGCGUGCUAUGUUAGAUGCCUCUGGUUCUCGUCUCUCUGAUGAAAAAAAGAUUGAGGUGAUGCUCGCGGGAUUGCCGUCAGAGUUUGAGGCGGUUAUCUCCUCCGCUAGGCAGUCGACUGGCGUUCUGCCAUUACAACGUUUGGUUGAUGCUUUAGUUGAUUGUGAAAGUCGUCAAGCUCAAGUGUUACAGGAGGUAAAUUUGAAUGCAAAUAUGGUCGAGGAUGCGCCGUCGGUUGAAGAAGGCAGUCGUGGCGGUCGUACGUCUGUUCGUGGCCGUGGCAGAACCUUCCGAUCUCACAUUCAAUGCUAGAUCUGUAGUCGCUUCAGCCAUGUGGCUCAGAAGUGCUAUUACCGUUAUCAUAGGGACUCGAAUACCUCUUCCGUGGUACCGUCGGUAUCUUGUCAAGGGGUUCCGUCGGGUGUUGAGCAAGCUGAAUUUGGAUCGUGUGCGCAAGAAGAAGAAGAAGAAAAAUAUGUAGCUCCUUAUCUCAAAAGUCAGAGAACAAUUUAUGGCCACGGGUACUAUGCAAGUCAAAAUAGAAAUGGUGGUCAAAAUUGGAGUGCUAGCAUGCAAAGUGAGAAAUUGGCACGUGGGCCACAAGUGUCAUAUGCAAAUGAAUAUGGCGGGCCAUAUGGGAAUAAUUUGAAGUCAAGUUUGCGUCAGUUUGGUCAUGAUGAUGGGCCUGGUUUUAAUAGCAAUGGGUUUAAUGGAAAUGCCCCAUUGGAUUUUAUUGCUGGAAAUGGACGGCGUGGGUUGCAAGGGCUGAAUGUGGUAAAUUCUACUAAUGGGCUGAAUAUUGACCCAAAUGUAAAUAGGGUUCCAUCAUCUAAUUUUGUUCAAGUUGAUCAAAGUGAUCUCGGUUCGCCUGAACCGAUUAGUGUUGAUCGAGUUAUGCGCUUUACCAAACCGCGUGCUCGCGUUUAUACUGGGUCCGAACUGUGUAUUAGGCUUCCUCGACUAGGGGACUUACGUGCAUCUGAUUAUUCUGAUCCUUUAGAAUCUGGCUCUCAUGUCAAUAUUGCUCAACUUGGAUUUAGUACUAGUAAUGAUGCUCCGUACGUACCAGUGCGAGGUACCACCUCAUCUUGGUAUCCUAACUCGGGAGCGAGUCAUCAUGUCUGUCGUGAUGUGUCAGCUUUACGUGAUGUCACGCCAUAUUUAGGUACGUCAUCUCUUUUAAUGGGUGAUGGUACUCCUGCGGUAAUUUCGUCAAUUGGCACUACUAUUUUAUCUACUCAGUAUAAACCGUUACGAUUAUCAAAUGUCUUAUGUGUGCCAAGUAUACAGAAAAACCUAUUAUCCGUCUCACAGUUUGCUCGUGAUAAUGGUGUGUUUUUUGAGUUUCAUCCUAACCAUUGUGUUAUUAAGGAUACGGUGACUCGGAAGACAUUAUUGACAGGCCGCAUUCAUGAUGGACUAUAUCAGUUUUCUGUGCCAGUGGGUUCUACUCCGUCUACGGUUACUCCAUUUGUUGCUCAUUCGCAAGUUCCACAUACAGUUUUAGAUAAUAAUGUGUUUGCUUUAUGGCAUUAUCAUUUAGGCCACCCAUCAACUUCUGUGGUCAAAACAGUUUUAAAUAAAUGUAAUGUUACUUCAAGUAAAAAUAGUUUGGAUGGUAUAUGUACUGCAUGUCAAAAAGGCAAGUUACAUAAGUUACCUUUCUCACCUUCGACUACUAGCUAUCGUCCUUUUGAGUUGGUUGUGUCUGAUCUUUGGGGUCCUGCACCUGUUGCAUGUGGUGAUAAAAGAUAUUAUGUUUCGUUUAUUGAUAUGUAUACUCGGUUUACUUGGAUUUAUCUUUUACGUUAAAAAGUUCAAGCACUAGAAUGCUUCACUCAAUUUCAACAGUUAAUUAAGACACAGUUUGGCAAGUCUAUUAAGUAGUUCCAAAGUGAUUGAGGAGACGAAUACCGUAGUUUUACGUCUAUCUUAGAAUCUCAAUGAAUCAUACAUCGACUGACAUGUCCGUAUACUUCAGAACAAAAUGGGGUAGCUGAACGUAAACAUCGUCACAUUGUUGAAGUGGGUAUUACAUUGUUGGCUCACGCAAAUUUGCCUAUGGAAUAAUGGGGGUAUGCGUUUUGCUGUGCGGUUCAUCUUAUAAAUCGACUUCCUACUGUUGUCCUUCAGAACAGUUCUCCGUUUAAGGCACUAUAUGGACAUGAUCCGACCUAUAAUCAUCUUCGAGUGUUUGGCUGCUGUUGUUAUCCUUACUUACGUCCAUUUGUAGGUCUUAAGUUGGAUUUUCAAUCUCAGCCGUCUACAUUUUUGGGCUACAGUCCUAGUCACAAGGGGUAUCAAUGUCUUUUACCAGAUGGCAAGGUUAUAAUUUCAAGGCAUGUGGUAUUUGAUGAGUAGAGAUUUCUGUUUGCUGAGACUAGUCCAGACAAGUCUGUGUCGACGACCAGUCAAACUAGUUCGAUUGCUGUUCCUCUCGUGUGGCCAUCUUAUUCCUCAACUCUUGAGCCUUGUAUGAUGACACCAUCUUUACAGGGGUUGCAAUCUCAGUCUACUAAUCCUGUAUUAGAUGUUAAUUUGGAGCAGUCUCAGUCUCAUCAUUCUUCAGCUGAUGUUGGGACUGGGUCGGGUAAUCUUCCAGCUUAUGGUUCGUCAGCUAAUGAUGGGACUGAGUUGAGUGGUCUUCCAGUAGUGCAUGGCUCGAGAUCAUCAAGUGAUAACAAUGCUCACUCUCAUUCUACUGUGAGAGUGUCUGCAGGUGUUUCAUCGACAUCUGAUAGUCAGAUUAGUAGACCACCCACGGGUAAUACUCACCCAAUGGUCACUCGAGCUAAAGCGGGGGUUUACAAGCCUAAGGUUUUAAAUGUUGAAGCUGUUGAACCAACUACGAUUGAAGAAGCUCUGGCUACUGUUGAGUGGAGCGAUUCUGCGCAAGCUGAGUAUGAUGCUCUUAUGCGUAAUUCCACAUGGGAGCUAGUUCCUACUCCGUCUAAUGUAAGAUCAUUGGGUGCAAAUGGUUGUUUAGAAUCAAGAAGAAUUCUGAUGGUACUAUUGCUCGACAUAAGGCUCGUUUAGUCACAAAAGGAUGUUCUCAAGUUCCAAGUUGUGAUUUUAAGGAAACGUUUAGUCCAGUGGUCAAACCGGCUACUAUCAGAGUUAUUUUGUCUAUUGUUGUGUCUAGGGGUGGUCACUUCGGCAAGUGGAUGUGAAUAAUGCAUUUCUAAAUGGCGAUCUUGACACUGAAGUCUUUAUGCAUCAACCUCCCGGUUAUGUUCAAUAUGCCUCAGAUGGCAGACCUUUGCUGUGUCGUCUGAAGAAAGCGGUGUAUGGUCUUCGUCAGGCUCCUCGUGCAUGAUUUGAGAAGUUAAAAAGAUUUUUAGUUUCUGUGGGGUUUGUGGUAUCAAAGUCUGACGCUUCCUUAUUUGUUCGAAUGGUACCAGCUUCAACAUUGUAUGUUCUUGUGUACGUUGAUAAUAUCGUUAUUACUGGUGAUGUGCCUUCUGUUACAGAGUGGUUUGUUAGAUUACUGAAUAGUGAGUUCUCGCUUAAGAACAUGGGUGAUCUCCAUUACUUUCUUGGGAUAGAGGUUAUUCGUUCUUCGUCAGGCUGUCUUUUUCUUUGUCAGAAGAAGUAUAUACGUGAUAUUCUUAUACGUUGUUCGAUGGAAAAUGCGAAGAGUGUUCAUACACCGAUGAUUAGUUCCUCUAUUAUGACUAGAGAUGGUGGUGAGCGGUUAGAUGAUCCGACUAAAUACAGGAGUCUUGCAGGAGCUUUACAGUAUGUCACUCUUACGCGGCCUGAUGUUGCUUAUGUUGUAAAUCGAAUAUGUCUGUUUAUGCAUUGUCCCACCUCCAUUCAUAUGACCGCCCUAAAGCGCAUUUUGAGAUAUCUAGAUGGAACGAUUGAUUUUGGGAUUGUGUUUCAUCCGUCCACAGAUUUGUCCUUAGUUGGAUAUGCUGAUGCAAACGGGGGACUAGAUUUUGAUGACCGGAGAUCCACUACUGGAUACUGUGUCUAUUUUAGACAUACACCUGUGUCAUGGUGUACGAAGAAACAGCAGAUUGUUGCUCGGUCUACUGCUGAGGCGGAAUACCGAAGUCUUGCCGCAGUUACUAGUGAGGUUACGUGGCUUUUAUCGUUACUUCAAGAAUUACAUGUUCAGUCUAAUAGUAUUCCCAAUAUUUGGUGUGACAGUUCUGGGGCGGUUGUGGUUGCUGCCAAUCCUGUUCUCCAUUCAAAAUUUAAACAUAUUGAGUUAGAUUUAUUUUUUGUUCGUGAGAAGGUUGCUGAUGGUACUGUUGCCGUUGGUGAAGUUCCAGCGUGUGAUCAAGUCGCUGAUGUUCUUACUAAGCCGCUUUCGCUAUUGAAUUUUACUCGUUUUAAGAGUUUUCUAUGGGUAUUGCCUAAGAAGAAGAUGGAUGAAUAUUAGAGUGUAGGAGUUGUUAAUUAGUUGUGAGUCUGGUAAGGUUGUUGCUUAGUUUAGACUAGUCAACAAA
rnacentral:lncRNA from 1 species